CUGGUCGACCAUCCCCGGGAUUGCCUCAGUAACGGCGAGUGAAGCGGCAACAGCUCAAAUUUGAAAUCUGGCCCCCCGGGUCCGAGUUGUAAUUUGCAGAGGAAGCUUUUGGCGAGGCGCCUUCCGAGUUCCCUGGAUACGGGACGCCAUAGAGGGUGAGAGCCCCGUACGGUCUGGUGCCGAGCCUCUGUAAAGCUCCUUCGACGAGUCGAGUAGUUUGGGAAUGCUGCUCUAAGUGGGAGGUAAACUCCUUCUAAAGCUAAAUACUGGCCAGAGACCGAUAGCGCACAAGUAGAGUGAUCGAAAGAUGAAAAGCACUUUGGAAAGAGAGUUAAAAAGCACGUGAAAUUGUUGAAAGGGAAGCGCUUGUGACCAGACUUGCGCCUGGCAGCUUAGCCGUCCUUCUGGGCGGUGUACUCUGCCGGCUCAGGCCAGCAUCAGUUUCGGGCAGGGGAGAAAUGCGGCGGGAAUGUGGCUCUUCGGAGUGUUAUAGCCCGCCGUUAUGCCCUGCCGGGGACUGAGGUUCGCGCUCUGCACGGAUGCUGGCGUAAUGGUUACUAGCGACCCGUCUUGAAACACGGACCAAGGAGUCAUCCUCAUAUGCGAGUGUUAGGGUGCAAAACCCCUACGCGAAAUGAAAGUGAACGGAGGUGAGAGCUUCGGCGCAUCAUCGACCCGAUCCUGAUGUUAUCGGAUGGGAUUUGAGUAUGAGCAUAUGGGGCUGGACCCGAAAGAAGUAAAUUUCCUCACUAUUUCUUCAGUAGUGGAGUAUAUAUAUAUGCUAACCCGGUUUUUUUUUCUAGGUGAACUUUGCUUUGGAUAGGGUAAACCCAGAGGAACUCUGGUGGAGGCUUCGCACCGGUUCUUACGUGCAAAUCGAUCGUCAAAUUUAACUUGGGGGCCAAAGUAAUUUCUAUUUUGUUUUCUUUUCGGGCAAAGCCACCCUUACAAAUUUUUUUUAGGACUAAUCGACCUUCUAGACUGGUUUCCCCAAGUUCCUCGGAUACCGGGUGAUUCCUUUUUAGGUAAGCCAAGAUUAGGGAUUGGGGCCUUUUACCUUUCCUUUUCACUUAAUUUAAAACCUGUUCUUUUGACGGGGCUUUAAAUUCACCUUGGGCCUUUUUGGACAAAUGGGAGCGGAUAACCCCCAGAUAAGGCCCAAUACCCUUUAACCCAAGGGUUCUUUACCCGACGGGCCGGAAGGAUCCUGGCGGNACCCCCGCAAGAACUAAAAGGGCCC
rnacentral:rRNA from 1 species